rnacentral:tRNA from 1 species
GGUGAGGUGUCUGAGUGGCUUAAAGAACAUGCCUGGAAAGUAUGUAUACAUUAAAUUGUAUCAAGGGUUCGAAUCCCUUUCUCACCGCCA